AUUGAACGCUGGCGGCAUGCCUAACACAUGCAAGUCGAACGGCAGCACGGGGGCAACACUGGUGGCGAGUGGCGAACGGGUGAGUAAUGCAUCGGAACGUGCCCAGUAGUGGGGGAUAACCCGGCGAAAGCCGGGCUAAUACCGCAUACGACCUAUGAGUGAAAGCGGGGGACCGUAAGGCCUCGCGCUAUUGGAGCGGCGUAGUUGUGAUUAGCUAGUGGGCGGGGUAAAGGCACACAAAGGGGACGAUCAGGAGCUGGUCUGAGAGGACGACCAGCCACACUGGGACUGAGACACGGCCCAGACUCUUAAGGGGGGAAGCAGUGGGGAAUUUUGGAAAAGGGGCGCAAGCCUGAUCCAGCCAUGCCGGGUGCGGGAAGAAGGCCUUCGGGUUGUAAACCGCUUUAGGCAGGAACGAAACGGCGCGGGUGAAUAUCCCGCGCUAAUGACGGUACCUGCAGAAUAAGCACCGGCUAACUACGUGCCAGCCGCCGCAGUAACAC
rnacentral:rRNA from 1 species